rnacentral:rRNA from 1 species
UACGUAGGGGGCAAGCGUUGUCCGGAAUCAUUGGGCGUAAAGAGCGUGUAGGCGGCCCGGUAAGUCCGCUGUGAAAGUCCAGGGCUCAACCCUGGGAUGCCGGUGGAUACUGUCGGGCUCGAGUCCGGAAGAGGAGUGUGGAAUUCCUGGUGUAGCGGUGAAAUGCGCAGAUAUCAGGAGGAACACCGAUGGCGAAGGCAGAUCUCUGGGCCGUAACUGACGCUGAGGAGCGAAAGCAUGGGGAGCGAACAGG